rnacentral:rRNA from 1 species
GACGAACGCUGGCGGCGUGCUUAACACAUGCAAGUCGAACGGACCCUUUGGGGUUAGUGGCGAACGGGUGAGUAACACGUGGGUGAUCUGCCCUGCACUUUGGGAUAAGCCUGGGAAACUGGGUCUAAUACCGGAUAGGACUACGCACUGCAUGGUGUGUGGUGGAAAGCUUUUGCGGUGUGGGAUGGGCCCGCGGCCUAUCAGCUUGUUGGUGGGGUGAUGGCCUACCAAGGCGACGACGGGUAGCCGGCCUGAGAGGGUGACCGGCCACACUGGGACUGAGAUACGGCCCAGACUCCUACGGGAGGCAGCAGUGGGGAAUAUUGCACAAUGGGCGCAAGCCUGAUGCAGCGACGCCGCGUGAGGGAUGACGGCCUUCGGGUUGUAAACCUCUUUCGCCAGGGACGAAGCGCAAGUGACGGUACCUGGAGAAGAAGGACCGGCCAACUACGUGCCAGCAGCCGCGGUAAUACGUAGGGUCCGAGCGUUGUCCGGAAUUACUGGGCGUAAAGAGCUCGUAGGUGGUUUGUCGCGUUGUUCGUGAAAACUCACAGCUUAACUGUGGGCGUGCGGGCGAUACGGGCAGACUGGAGUACUGCAGGGGAGACUGGAGUUCCUGGUGUAGCGGUGGAAUGCGCAGAUAUCAGGAGGAACACCGGUGGCGAAGGCGGGUCUCUGGGCAGUAACUGACGCUGAGGAGCGAAAGCGUGGGGAGCGAACAGGAUUAGAUACCCUGGUAGUCCACGCCGUAAACGGUGGGUACUAGGUGUGGGUUUCCUUCCUUGGGAUCCGUGCCGUAGCUAACGCAUUAAGUACCCCGCCUGGGGAGUACGGCCGCAAGGCUAAAACUCAAAGGAAUUGACGGGGGCCCGCACAAGCGGCGGAGCAUGUGGAUUAAUUCGAUGCAACGCGAAGAACCUUACCUGGGUUUGACAUGCACAGGACGCCGGCAGAGAUGUCGGUUCCCUUGUGGCCUGUGUGCAGGUGGUGCAUGGCUGUCGUCAGCUCGUGUCGUGAGAUGUUGGGUUAAGUCCCGCAACGAGCGCAACCCUUGUCUCAUGUUGCCAGCACGUUAUGGUGGGGACUCGUGAGAGACUGCCGGGGUCAACUCGGAGGAAGGUGGGGAUGACGUCAAGUCAUCAUGCCCCUUAUGUCCAGGGCUUCACACAUGCUACAAUGGCCGGUACAAAGGGCUGCGAUGCCGUGAGGUGGAGCGAAUCCUUUCAAAGCCGGUCUCAGUUCGGAUCGGGGUCUGCAACUCGACCCCGUGAAGUCGGAGUCGCUAGUAAUCGCAGAUCAGCAACGCUGCGGUGAAUACGUUCCCGGGCCU